rnacentral:rRNA from 1 species
AAAUUGAAGAGUUUGAUCAUGGCUCAGAUUGAACGCUGGCGGCAGGCCUAACACAUGCAAGUCGAACGGUAACAGGAAGCAGCUUGCUUCUU